AUGUGGCUUGUGGUGCACAGAAGGUGUCUCGCGGCAGAUAACCUGGAACGCAGAAAUUGGCCGUCCAGUGGAUCGUGCCCCCUCUGUCUGUCAGUGCCGGAGGACUACACUCACCUUUUCGUUCACUGUCAUUAUACUCAGCAGGUUUGGAUGCACUUUAAAUCCUGGUCGGAUGCGGAUUUUCUAAUCCAUGAUCCUAGUUUUAUAUCCACGGAGGACUGGUGGUUGAGGGCUAGGGAUGCGAUCCCUAAGGCUAUCAGGAAGAACUUUGACUAGGUGAUUAUUCCGCUGCACCGGAGGGUUUGGAAGGAAAGGAAUGCCAGGAUUUUUGAUCAGAUGGCCAGCUCACCUUAGGUCUUGGAACGGAUUAAAGAGGACAUGUCCAUGUGGAGGGCUGCGGGAUGCAUCCCUGAUCUUCCUACUUAG
rnacentral:rRNA from 1 species